rnacentral:rRNA from 1 species
AACGGAGCUGAGAGGAGCUUGCUUUUCUUAGCUUAGUGGCGAACGGGUGAGUAACGCGUGAGUAACCUGCCCUGGAGUGGGGACAACAGUUGGAAACGACUGCUAAUACCGCAUAAGCCCACGAUCCGGCAUCGGAUUGAGGGAAAAGGAUUUAUUCGCUUCAGGAUGGACUCGCGUCCAAUUAGCUAGUUGGUGAGGUAACGGCCCACCAAGGCGACGAUUGGUAGCCGGACUGAGAGGGCGGACGGCCACAUUGGGACUGAGACACGGCCCAAACUCC